CCCUGCUUAACUGCCCGCACAUGCAGUAUGUCGUCUCACGCAGAUAGAGAGGUUAGCUGACCGAGAAUAUGGGUGUAAAAAGUACAGGAAUGUUAGGCCAUGUUGGUUUCUAUGCAUGGAUUUUGAUGUGUAUAUUUUUGCAGCACAUUUUUAACAGCUAAUGAUUCAGCCUAGAAAGGCCUCGAGCUUGAAGGGCCACUCCUGAGCGGAGAGAUCGGGAAUAUUGGAUUGCUCCUAUUAUGAUCAAUGAAGCCAUUCAAUGAAACUGUGGACAAGAUCUAGGCUUGUAGAAGGGGAGUGACAGUGAUGUUAUCAGAAAGCUGGGUAGAGUCCCGUGAGCAGGGAGAAGAGCCAGGUGCCGGACAGAGAAAGGACAGACAGCAUGUCCAGAAAGACACACACCAGACGAUGGAGGACCAGGACCAAUCAGACAAGAAGAAGAGGGGCAGUACAUUGAAUGCUGGUGUUGAGGCUGUGCUGUGAUGUUACACGCUGUUACAAUAUUGAGACCAGGAGGAGAAGGUGGACCUCUCAGAAGAUGCACAAAGGUCAUGUGAAACAUGCAGAUUGAACCCUGCCAGUGAGCGUCUCAUUUGCUGAGAGGGACAGAGACAAGCGUCUUGAAGAUCCAUGGGGCCCUGGACUAUUCUUCUUCUUCUGGGGAAGCAGCGGGGCCUCCAUAGUUGUUUCAUAUUGUGAGAGUCGAGGCUGGCAGCGUAUAUGACAAGACCAGGCUGGACUACAAGCUGAAGUGUUGUGAAACUAAAUCACCUGCUACCUACUACAACUUCAAAGCAGGUCCUCUAAACAGCCUACGGGAAUAUGAGAGAGUCAGCAGCAAGGUCAUCUUGGGACAUGGAAACAGGUUAUAAACCUAGCUGCUUUUUUGAUAGUAACAGAGACAAGGUAACAAUACAAAAAUAAAACAUUUAAUAGCAUGAUAGAAUUAGGCUAGUUACGUUACACCUUGUUUUACUUUUUGUUCAUGCAACAAAAAAAUAUAUAAUAUUGUUCAUGCAAAAAAAAUUUUAAUCUUUUUAAUUUAAUUGCUCCUUUUAUUUGGAAUUUGUUUACAUGUUGCAGGAGGAUGAGAAUGGAGUGAUGUUUUCUUGUCACUUUCCACAUGGAUAUGAAAGACUUGAGGGAGGCAUUCUUUAAUGGCCUUAACUAGGGGUGUGGUAUUUUCCUACUGCGGACAUCUGAAGACAUCGCAGCAUUCAGAUAAAGACUGCAGAACACAAUAGAGCAGCAGUCAGACAGAAAGUCACCUUUCAGAAUGCCACAGGCCAUUGUUGUUCAAUGGUACAUCAAGAACCCAUUGCUACUAAAAGGCAAGAAGUUUGACGUGCGGUCAUACUUUCUAAUUGCUUGUACCUCGCCAUUCAUAGUGUUUUUCCCCAUGGUUACGUCUGAUUGACAUGUAACCAUUAUGACCCCAACUCCGACAAUCUCACGGGCCACUUGACCAAUCAAUACAUGCAGAAGAAGAACACUUUGUACAAUCUACUAAAAGAAGAGACAGUUUGGUCCAUGGAGCAGCUCAAUACAUAUAUUACUGAGACGUAUAUGCUGCCAAAGGGUCUACCCAAAGACUGGGCUCUGGCUCCUUGUGCAGUGAGUUUUGUCAUUUUGCAAACUUCAAAGGGGAAUAGAGAACCGAUUAAAGCAUGGUGGGUGUUAGCCAAAGGCAGAUUUAUCAUAAUAUUCUCAGAAGUAAUUAAAAAGAUAUUACUGAAAUUAUCUGUUAAUCUGUCUCAACUCUAAAGAACUUAGUGGGAUCUACAUGUUACUUAGCAGUGUCAACAUGUAGAUUUAUUUAAAUUACUUGCAAAAGAUGCAGAUGUGCUGUUGUUCUUUAGAUUUAACAGUUUUACAUCCCGUCUACACCAGUGCCUCGUUUCAAAAGCAAUAAAACCCAUUAUAAUCAAAAUGAUGCUGUCUACACUGGAAGUGUCCAUUGCGGCACAUUGCAUUGACAGUAAACGGGUGUCCCGUUCCAUUUUGCCCUGCACACGCUGGCACUGCUACUACCAACAACACAUAAACGGUUUAGAAUGUUCGUGUCGAUGCGCCCAAUGUAGACAGUGUGUCACAUGUAUGUAAAGUUACAGUAAAAGGGAAGCUCUUCACAUACAUUGAGAAAGAUGAAACUAAAUUGCAAGGUCUAACAAAUAUGUUUAUCUUGGAGUCCAGUUGUGUGUUUUUUUGGACAAACUCAAAAUAAUAAUUUUGACAGGCUUAAUAAAACAUGUAAAUCAGUGAAUUUAUAAAAUGUGAUUGUGUUUUCAGUAAUUGAUCAUGCAUCCUAACUUUGUGCUGUUGCGGAAGAAAAUGCAGCAUAUUAUUUAUACAGUGCUUUCAGGCUGUCAAAGCUAAGCUGGACUGCACACUUGGUUACUUGGUUGGACCUAAUUGGUUGUGACUUCUUGAUUGAUGAGGAAUUCAAGGUGAGGCACAUAUAAAAUAAUAAUAAUUUAUUACGAUUUUAAGUGUGUGUGUGUGUGUGUGUGUGUGUGUGCGUGUGCGUGUGUGUGUGUGUGUGUGUGUGUCAUAACCUCAUUGCAGCCUGACAGGAUUAAGAGCGCCAGACACAGGAGAUUAGUUUUAGAAUUAUCCACUGAAUGUGGUAAGGUCCAUAAAGACUUUAUUUAUCUGCUCUGUAAUCUCCUUAGUUUCUUCAAGACAAUUAUGAUACAGUUUUCUUAUGCUGGCAUGGUGCUCUGGAAAUGGAUGUUCAGAGGCCAGUUGUCCCCCUAUGGAGCAUCCUAAAUUCAAUCCCUGCCAAGCUGUUGCCAGGCAACCCAUGAACUGUCAGCAUAAACACAUGGUCCCCAGGCCAGGCAUAUACUGGUCUCCAGGUUACCAGAUCAUUAUGGAUUCACACAUAACAACCAGCAACAUUUAUAUUGGACAAUAUCACACAGCACUGACUGAAUAACACUUAUCACAUACAGCAAUAUCAGUGCCUUAAAAGCCUCCUAUUAGCACUUAGAUUCUUUGCUUUACCCAGGUAUUACGCUGCCUCACUCAGGUAUGUACAUGCAUUUCACAAUCAAAGUUAAUGUGAAAUUCUGGCAUAUGUGUACACUACAUCACUGCUCUUACUACAAAAAUAAUUUAAUGUACAGUACAUAUUUAUAGUAUAGGCAAAAUCCAAUUGUAUAUUUGGCUGGCAAAUAGAUUCAAUGAAUGGAGCACUUUGAGUAGGAUAAGGGUGCCCUCUACUGGAUAAAGUUUUCUUCAGUGUCAUGUAAAUAUAUUGCAUUUUAUUAGGUCUGUACUUGUCAUAAAAGAAAGAAAACUUCAUAAACUUGUAUCUUUGUAACUUGUGAUAUAGAUUGACUGUGAUGUGUAUUAUACAGUACUUAUUCUGGGCAGGAUUGGUUGCUAGAGAUGAACUGUAACCUGGCGCUGCAUACUGUGAUGUACUAAAAGAUGUGGUUUGAUAAAAGAUGAUUCGAUAAAAAAAACUAUAUCUCUGAAUACAUAAAAAAAAUGUUUAACUAAAUUAUUAAAAAUAACUUUUAUAUCAAUUAUUGGUGAACAAAUACAUUUUAGCUUGUGUUUUAGUCCUUACAUUGAAAAUCACUUCAUUCUAAAUUAAGUAAAACACCUUUUUUUCUAUUUUGUUGGAAUAAUGCAUGUGUGUGAAUUCUGUGGGAAUGCAUUGCUUGUGAUCAUGGUACAUGAUAAAAUGAGGUGUGACAACACUAAGAUGUAGAUGGGACACACUUGGUUUUUCAGACCUAACUUUGGAAAUCUUCAACAAGUCUUGCUGUGGGCUGAAGCUGUUGCCCCUAAACAGUCAAAGAGACUUUGUUUUGCUUUAUAGUGGUGAGACUAUGCCCAUAACCAACAAAAAGCACAAAACUGCAGUGCCCCUCUCGACCCUCCAUCCAAAGAGCAACUCCAUGCACAAUAUCACCAGCAAAACCCAGAGAGCCAUUGCCAAAGCAGCAGCAGCGGCAGCAACAACAAUAACAACAACAACAACAACAACAACAACAGGGAAAUCAACCAAUAGGGGCACCAAAUCUCAAGUUAGUGCUACCACAGAAACCCAAGCCAAACCUCCUGUCACUUCAACCAGUUCCUGUUCUUUCUCAUAUGCCACUUUGUCUAAUACAAGCCCACCAACUAAGCAACAAGCAAGAGUGGCAUCCACAACCCACAGAAACCUGACAUCCAAAGCUCAAGAAACGAAUCAACCUCGACCACACCAGCCUAAACCUGUCCAUUCUUGUGUAGAGUUGAGGCUCAGUAAUUGCACCUGGCAGCCACCUGCAGGGGUCUCCAACCUCUUCGUACCUCCACAACCAGUACCGGUGAGAAGUGCUAUCAGGUCUCCUUCUACACCAGCCCUAAGCAAAGGCUUAAACUCCACUCAAAGUCUUGGCCCUCGAGGCUUCCAGACAAAGGGGAGCACAUGAGCUGCCACCUCAAGAUGUCCAAGAUUCAUCUGGCUCAGCCAUACUCCCUCCAGACUGGGUGAACAGAGAAGAAAGAACCCAGAGAAAAGAUGAUGGAUGACAUAAGAAAGAACUGAGCUAUAGUCUGAUCACUCAACUCUGAACUCAAAGUUAUUACGAGGGAAUGUUCUCAGAAUAACCUGAAUCUGACUCAGAUUCAGUUUAUGACUAAUGCUAUUCCUCAUCAAUGUAAGUGCAGCGUGGUUCUAGCGGGAAGACUAGCAGCUUUACAUCAUCGCACCAUUAGCUAGGUAACUCCUGGCCAAUCACAUGUAAGCCAUUGCUUUGUAAGUCUGCUCACAAUCUAUCACAUUGCUGUUUCAGUGUGCUAACAUGGCAACCUCCACCACCCCACCACCACCAGCUGAGUCCCGUCCUGCACUGGGGUAGGCUCCUCGCCCCUGCCUCCUAUCUCUGGCAGGAUAUGAUGGUUCCGAGUACAACUUCUUCGGACCGCCAGACGGGGCUUCGUCAAAGAGAGACAUUACAUUUCUGUUUUAUAUUCAUCAAAUAAAUGUCAUCUUAAAUUUCACUCAAGUCUGCGAGUCUUCCUGAUGGAACCAUCGUUAUUUCAAUAACUGACUCAACAACCCUCACAGAAUGAGAACGCUCACUGGAGGAAGCACAACAGAAUACAGGAAUAUUGAGAUGCUAUUUUCAAAGUUUCCUCUACUUUCAACUUUACACAGUAUCCAAAAAAAUGCAGCGUUUAUGAUACUGAAUACCACUGAGAUGCUCCAAACGCAUCCGUCUGAGGCACGCAAAUGUGUGUAGAGCGACAAUUAAAAACAGUGCAGAUGGAGCGCAAGAACUGGACGCAAUGACAAACUCAAACUCAACUGUAUGCUUGUUCAGUGAU